GAUGAACGCUGGCGGCGUGCUUAACACAUGCAAGUCGAACGGAAAGGCUCCUGCUUGCCGGGGUACUCGAGUGGCGAACGGGUGAGUAACACGUGGGUGAUCUGCCCUGCACUUCGGGAUAAGCCUGGGAAACUGGGUCUAAUACCGGAUAGGACCUCAUUUUGCAUGGUGUGGUGGAGAGUUUUUCGGUGUGGGAUGAGCUCGCGGCCUUUAAGCUUGUUGGUGGGGUAAUGGCCUACCAAGGCGUCGACGGGUAGACGGCGCGUGAGGGUGUACGGCCACACUGGGACUGAGAGACGGGCCAGAGUCCUACGGGGGGCAGAAGUGGGGAAUAUUGCACAAUGGGCGCAAGCGUGAGGCAGCGACGCCGCGUGGGGGAUGACGGCCUUCGGGUGGUAAACACCUUUCGCUAGGGACGAAGCGUGUUUGUGACGGUACCUGGAGAAGAAGCACCGGCUAACUACGUG
rnacentral:rRNA from 1 species